rnacentral:rRNA from 1 species
GACGAACGCUGGCGGCGUGCUUAACACAUGCAAGUCGAACGGUAAGGCCCUUCGGGGUACACGAGUGGCGAACGGGUGAGUAACACGUGGGUGAUCUGCCCUGCACUUCGGGAUAAGCCUGGGAAACUGGGUCUAAUACCGGAUAGGACCACUGCCUGCAUGGGUGGUGGUGGAAAGCUUUUGCGGUGUGGGAUGGGCCCGCGGCCUAUCAGCGUGUUGGUGGGGUGAUGGCCUACCAAGGCGACGACGGGUAGCCGGCCUGAGAGGGUGACCGGCCACACUGGGACUGAGAUACGGCCCAGACUCCUACGGGAGGCAGCAGUGGGGAAUAUUGCACAAUGGGCGCAAGCCUGAUGCAGCGACGCCGCGUGAGGGAUGACGGCCUUCGGGUUGUAAACCUCUUACAGCACCGACGAAGCGCAAGUGACGGUAGGUGCAGAAGAAGGACCGGCCAACUACGUGCCAGCCGCCGCAGUAA